rnacentral:rRNA from 1 species
UACGGAGGGGGCUAGCGUUGUUCGGAAUUACUGGGCGUAAGACGCACGUAGGCGGCUUUGCAAGUUAGAGGUGAAAGCCCGGGGCUCAACUCCGGAAUUGCCUUUAAAACUGCAUCGCUAGAAUUGUGGAGAGGUAAGUGGAAUUCCGAGUGUAGAGGUGAAAUUCGUAGAUAUUCGGAAGAACACCAGUGGCGAAGGCGACUUACUGGACACAUAUUGACGCUGAGGAGCGAAAGCGUGGGGAGCGAACAGG